rnacentral:piRNA from 1 species
UGCUGCCUGACUAUGGUGUGAUCAGCUCCUU